GCCCACAUAGCUCAGUAGGUAGAGCACACCCUUGGUAAGGGUGAGGUCACCGGUUCGAUCCCGGUUGUGGGCU
rnacentral:tRNA from 2 species